rnacentral:tRNA from 1 species
GGUUGUGGCUUAGUGGUAGAGCACUCUUCUAGCACACCUGAGGCACUGGGUUUGAUCCUCAGUACCA